UAGGACAACACGCUGAAUCUGCACUCGUGCAGUACGGGGGAUCUGUGUCCGCAAGGACAUGGGGUGAAUCGCCUUCAGGCGUAGGGUUGCUCUCGACCCGAACCCGUCAACUAACCUCGGAAGCGAAAGGGAGGUUUU
rnacentral:sRNA from 2 species